CGGGGACUCGGUGCGGAGCCGGGGCGCCGAGUGUCUCCGUGUCCCUCUGCCCCAGCCGGCGGCCGCGAUGGUGGAGCUUGGCCUCUCGCUCUCUCCCGCCUCUCCAGCGACUGCUCUGCCGGCCGCGGAGGUCGGAUCGAGCGGUCAUUCAUUCAUUUGUUAAUUCGUUCACUUAUUCAGGGGAGAUCAUUGAACCCCUACGGAGUACCGGGUACUGGGCCGGGCGCUGAGGACGCGGGGCUGAGCAAAAGCAGCCGAGGCCCACCUUCGUGCCCCUUAAAACCCAGCGUGCGGGGCGGCAACGAGUACUGCUUUUCUGUUUUGCACUUAAAAUUUACAUUUUGCAUCCGUACUUUUUAUUUACUGUGCACCCUUACGGCAUGCUUUACGCACCCGUACCUGCACCUCCUAGCCUUGAGUGUAGACACCAGAUCCUGAGAUGGGCGAUUUUUCGAGAAUAAUUUUUACCCUAAGUGGAUUUUCGUGCCACGCAUGGACUUGGAACUACACACACGUAGUCCAAAACGUGAAAGUCAAAAUGCAGCUUUGCCAAGUGGCAGGGAGAAAGGAGAGCUGAGAAGAUGAGGAGAGGAAGGGCGCGCUCCAGGCUUUCCAGCCCGGGUGCGGUAGACGUAGCCCUGAAGGAUGAACCCAGGCUGGUAGUAGGGCGGCGGGAGGGCGGGGGGACCUGUCAGUCAAGUCCAAAGCAGAAACGCGGCGCCGGAUCCCAGUCAGAGGCCGGCUGGAACGCUUCCCACAGGCUCCUGGCGCUCCGGUCCCCACCAGGCGACCUUGAUCCUGGCGUGCUCAGCGGAGCCAGCGCAGCGUCGGGAGCUGGAGAGACGCGGGGCGCCGGCUGAGCGCUCCUGCCCUCUGCCUCUGGGCUAGCCUCUGGCCCGGCCUCCCGGCCUCCCCCAGGGUACGCUCUCCCCCAAGAGCGAACACCAGCUUUGGGAUCGCCAGCAGCCACGUCUCUGCUUCUAGAUCUCUUUUUUUUUUCUUUGAGACUUAGUUGAUAGCUGUUUAAGGAAUUAUGUGGAGGAAAUCUCACCUCCGACCCCCGCCCCCGUUGAGCACGGCCGGCCAGGGUCGCUGGGUGGGCCAGGAGGAAAGAAAGGGGCGGGGAAGAAGCAGCAAUUUUACUUUAAAUUAAAAUGACACAAAAAUAUUUUUUCAACUCAGAUCUUUCUGAGACAUCCCCAGAAAGCGUUGCAAGCUGUGAUUACACCUAAUGUGAGAGCAUGAACUAAUUUAAGAGGUGAGAGCUGCAUAAUGAGGCUGCCUCCCGUGUAGCAGCCAAGACUGGCAGCUCUGGCGGCGCGCUGGAGGGGACCGGGAGGGGCACCCUUGUAGAACCAGUCCCUGGCGCCCUGGGAUCUUCUCAGUGCCCUGGCGCUGUGUUGUCGGUCACUCCACAGAUAUUACAGGGUGCCUCCUGAAUGCCGGGUUGCAAUCAAGAGCAAGAGAUGGGGCGAGUGAAAGAGCCUGUUUUCAGGAGCUCAGCAUCAGGAUGACGAUUACCUAGAGGGAGGUGGUGGCCAGCCUCCCCCUCUUCUCUUCAUGCUGAGGCUCUGGUGGGCAGUGCCCAAGCCUGAACUGCCAUCUGUAUGCCAGUGGUUACCCAACUUGUAUUUUCAGUCUUAGCCUCUCUCUGGUCCAGACUUGUCAUUCUAAGGGCCCUUUUUCACUGACUCACAUUGUCUCCUCCCUCCCUGCCUUCCAAACUCAGCCUUUUCCUUUUUCCCUUUCCCACUGACAACAGCUGCACGACCCCCCCGCCCCCCCACGAGGUGAAAAUUCCCAAGAACCCCAUGUCUAACCUAACUCCCUCUCUAUGUCCUGUUGCUUGAGCCAUUCUCAUUAGGCUGCCUGUUCGGAGUUCAUUAUCUCCUAAUUUUUCAUCCAGGAAUUGAUGAAGAAUCACCUACUGCCUCUCCCACACACUGUUUAUUCUUUCAUUUGAUGAUAUCUGUUAAGUGCCCUGAGAUAUGUAACCUCCACUUCCCUCCCAUAUAAGUGAGAUUUCACGUUGAUUACUUCCUUGGCUUUCCUCAUCCCUUAUCCACAUAGCAUGUGUUCAAAAUAAUGAAUAUUAAUUUAAUGUUAAUAGAUAUGUGCUUUCCUGAAUUGUGAGGAUUAAAUGAAAUCAUGUAUAUAGGGAGGAAAAUCCAUUAGAAACCUCAAAAGCAGUUAUGUUUAUUUUUGCUAUUGUCACAUUGUUAGAGUCAGAAUUCUUUUAGCUGCAAGUGACAAAACCAACUCAAACUGGCUUAAGGACUUUAUUGGUUGAUGCAAAAAGCCUCGGGUUAGGUCUUGCCAUUUAAGGUAGGGCUGGAUCCAUCAAUCCGGGUUACCAGGAUCUGUUUUCUAGUUGUGGCUUCAUUUUCAGACAAGUUGUUUCCAUAUGAUAGCCUCAUAGAAGGUACUACCAGCUUAGUCCUAGCAAGAAAAAAGAGUACUUACUCUUCAAUAUUUGCAGCAGAAGUCCCAGGUCUGUUCUUAUGAGGGCAGUUUGAGUCACUUGCUCUUCUCUGAACGUGGAGAAGGCACUGUUUAGAUGAUGGAGGUUGGAUUCAGGUGCAUCCCCUGGAAUGGGGUUUGGCAUUAGCUUCACGUGGUCUAGAAUAAAGGGGUUCUCCAAAGGAAAAUUAGGGUAGGAAUGCUGAGUAAGCAGAACAAACAGAUGUCUACUUUAGUCCUUCCCAAAGGGUGAGCUGCAAUACAUUGCAGACUAUCAGAAUGGUGAUGAACACGGAUGCAGUAGCCAAGAAAAUAGAUGUGUGUUUGUCGUGGUCUUUUUCAGUCUUCAAGAUCUCAGUUAAACAUGAAGUCAACCACUCACUAUGAUGUUAUUUGAGGUUUAGCUUUGAAGUGGAAAUGUACCACAAAUAGUAGAGCCAGAUAAAUACAAAUAAAUAAUUUUAACAGUCCAUUCUAAAAGAUUUCUUUGGUAAUAUUCUGUUGGAAUUGAUUUCUAUCUUUUCAUUUGUUAGGUUCCUGGAAAGUGAAAAUUUCAUUUCUUUGUGGACAGGUACCUAAAAUGUCUCAUUAUUCAUCAAUUAAUGAAAAACAAAUGAAAAUUUGAGAGAGAUAUUCUGAAGAAUAAAAGGAUCAAGUUGGGUCAUUUCUAAAAUCUCAGAGACCUAAUAGGAUGGGGUCUUAGAGAAACAUCUUUUGAGCCACAGACUUCUUUGUUACCAGAAGGAAAAUGAAAGAAGAAAUUUAAAUACCACUUGAAGAGAGCUGAUCGCCACCAACUGGCCUCUGGGUGGAUUUGGCCAAUGGAAGCACCUGUAGAGGGAAGAGAGUGAGGUUAGGAUAUUUCUUCCUGCUGUCUCCGUGCUUCCCUGCAGAGAGUGUGAAGAAAUGACCCUGAAAAGCCUCUGGCAGAGGAUUCUUCUUUCAGGAUGGUGUCGCCUCCUCAGCAGCCCAUCCUCCUCCCCUGGACUCAAGCUCUCAUUCCAGUAACACUCCUUCCUCCUUCUCCAUCUUCAGGGGGAGGUUUGCCAGUCGGUGGGUUCUAAGCAUAUCUCGCUGAUUCCCCCCAACCCUGCCGACACCUCUGUAGGUCGUCCCUUCAUUAAAAUCUCUCCAUUUGAACUAUCUGAGUUUAAUUCCAUUUCCUCCUGGUAUCUCAGUGAUACACGGUAUCAGUACAAAAAUCUCGCUUCACCUUCAGAACCAACAGAUUUGAGACAUUUUAUCCUCUGUGGAACCAUUAGUUAUUUUGUCAUUGGUUGUAUCAGAAAAAAAAAUCAGGAAUGCAAAUCCUUCUUUAUUACAGAUUCAGAUUUGCAUAUUACCAAUGUUAUAUAUUUUAAACAAAACUAUUCAUCAUAAGUUUUAAAAAUUAACUACUGGAGUAGUUAAUGAAUCUGAAUGUAAUUAUGUAGCUUUCAUAAUAUUAAAGUAAAAAUACUAAAAGAAGUAUUUCUUAAAGAAGCAAAUGCUCAAUCUCCAAGUAAAUUUUAUUCUAUGCUCUUCCGGUAUAAGAAUAUGUUAAUAUCUUGAAAAAUAUCAUAUUAUUUUGUGAACUCAUAAAGCUAUUUUGAGUUUUUGUAAAAUGAAAACCUUACCAAAAUGUAUUUUAUUGUUGGAAAGCUUGACCGUUACUGCUGUUUAAUUUUUUGAGCUUGUAAACUUUAUUUGUGCAUGUUUUCAACAAAGAAGGAUUUUAUUGUUAUUACAUAAAACAGGUGAUUUCUAGAUUUUAAAAUCACAAAUUGAAAGCAAGGCACAAUAAUAUAUAUUUCAAGAUAUAGGUACUUAGGAGGCAUCCUUUUAGUCAUCUGUUCAAUGUAGCCAUCUAUUUUACACCUACUGUCUACUAUUGUUUGAGGUCCUUGCCAAAGUAUUGCAGGCUAGUUAGGAAACAUAAAACAAUUAGAAAGUAAUCUAUGACAAGUAAGCUAUCUAUAAAUGGCAAUGAAGGGUAGAACAAAUUCAAUGAAAAUAUCUAUUUAAUCCUAGUGUUUACUGGUCUAGAAGAAUAGGCUGAGUAAAUUAGUAUUUCUCUGGCUGUUGUGGUAACACAUUGCAUGCUAUAACAGUUUUAAGUAAUUACAGGUGCAUUGAAAUUUAUCUAUGGCUUUGUCAUCAUAUUCUAAAAUGUCAUGAGUACUUUUUUCUGACCUCAAUUACUAUGAAAUUGGUUUCCAAUAUUUAAUUAACCAAGAAUAUCAAGUCUAUAGGGUAUUAUUAAGGUGAGACUUCUGUAGCCUUUUCAAUAAAGACCAGAAUUUUGGAGUGCCUUGAACCUUAAUCAUUGAUCUUUAAUUCUUAUUAAGUCAACUGCCCACCUUUUAAAGACUGAGGCCCAGGAAGAGUAAGUUUCUCUGAGACAAUGCAUACAGUACAGUGCUUCUUGGGUAUUGGCUCUAAGACCAGAUGCAAAGAAAGGCUAAAAUCCCAUUUCAUUGUUCAUUAGGUGAGAACCCUUUGUUAAGCUGUGUAACCUCUGUGCAUAGUUUCCUCAUCAGCAAAGUCAGAAAAAGUAUGUACCUGAAGGACUGAUUGUAAGGCUGGGAUGAGAGAAUCCAUGUGAUCAGCCCUCACCAACAGGUGCUGCCCAGUUCAUGAGUGCUGCUGCUGUCCUGCCCAAGUACCCAGCUUGCAGAGUGCCAGAGUUAGAGUCCCAGGGGUGUUCUCCACAGCUGCAUGCUUGAUCCAGGCCUAUCAGGUGAGUUGGCUCUUGGCUAGUGGUUUUUCUUCUCUUGCUGUACAAAAGUCCAGACAGUAAUGUCUUUUUUUCAUUUUUAUAGAUAUAUUCCAUUGAAAGUCCUCAUUCUCAAAUUUAAAACAAAGACUUUUUGUGUACCUCAAUAGCAAUGCACACACAGUUGGCUUCACAAACAUAUUGUACAUUUCUUUUUUUCAUAUUUAUUCAACAAAUGUAUAUUGACUACCCACCGUGUGACAGGUGUUAUUUGUUGACGGAACCAGGCAUCAUCAGCAAACAAAACUGACAAAGCUUCCUGCCCUCUGUGGAAGGCAUCUGAGGAAGAGACUGGAUUUUGUAGCAACAUGUUAUUCUCAUUAUAAACUUUAUCAUUGGAAUACUAAAGCCAAAUCAUCCCCCAUCUCCUUGAUCAGGAUACCCACUUAAUCUAGGCAGCUACACAAUUGUGAGAGCCUUUGUUUUUUUCUGCUGAAACAUCCUUAAAAAGAUACCUCACAACCCAAGAUUUGGCUUUUCUUAAAUACGAUUUUUAAUUUUUUUCAUUUCUAUCUAGAGAUUUAAUUGGAAAUGGAAAAUCAUCAAUUUUCCAAUUAAAUGUCUGUUCCAAUCAACAUUAUACCUUUUAGGUUGUCAUUGUCAUUUUUAAGUUUAAGCAACUUUAAGGAUUUUGAAUCUGGCUGCCUGUAAAUUAAAGGUGAAAGUAAUCA
rnacentral:lncRNA from 1 species